CUUCCACCUGUUGAAAUAAACAGUCCACAAAAUUAAGGCAUUUGAGGGCAAUUAGAGGGAAAUAAAGCAUUUAUUAAAGUUACAAUGGCAUAUCAAAAAUGUCCAUUAUGCUUUUGAAGGCUCUUAACUAGGCACAAGGGCAGAAACAGUCAUGAUCCCGGCCACUGCAGGCAAACACGUGUUGAUUACCAAAGCAGAAAGGGAGACAGAGGGCUGGUGGUGAGCAUUCUCUUCAGCAGGUCCCCAGGCACCAGGCCCCCUCCAAGUCAUGCCUCACAUGCCCAACAGCAAAGAGAAGCAGUGGGAGCUGUGCAGACACUGCAGGGCAGGGCAGGGCACUGCCGGCUAAAUUACAGCAGCAACUGUAUGCACGAAACAGCUUCUUCAUAAACACCAUUCUCAAACUGGAUUUAUGCACAUUCAUACGCUACCUAGUAUAUCUAAGAGAUCUUGAAAUCAAAGCAAAAUAAAAAAGAGAGACCCGCCUGCAUUCCAGGCACUGAGCAAUGACAUGUCAAGGCAACAGAAGUCCCCCUCCUGCCCCCAUUCACUUCUCCAUCUCACUGUCUGCUGAGAAUUUAUAGUAUUUAUUCCACACAUCACUGUGUACUUCAAAAUCUGCACAUUCCUCUCCGUGGGAUUCUCCUGGGAUGUGAAUCCCACCACCGUGCAUCAUGUACGCAUCUAAACUAUUUCAUUCCACACUGAGAGACUCGGGUUUGGAACGGGAGGAGGGAAGUGAGGCGUAAGUGAGAAAGGAGGUCAUAUGGCCCAAACAGAUACUUCCAGAGUCCAAUCCCAGCUGGCAGGGAUCCAGGCCCCUGGAGGCCAGGCCUGCUUGCUGAGUACAGACGGCCAGUGAGGAGGCAGAAGCUGUAGCCCCAGAGCCAGAAGACCCACACUAGUGUCAUCGCCACAGGCUCCCAGAGUCCAGGUCAAGGGGCAGUCCUCACCGAGAAGGCACACCAGCUUCCUGUGAGCGUGUCCCAUGGAUCCAGGGGUGGCUAGAGGCCCAUCACCAUGGGUGUUUGCACUUCCUAAAACUGCACACAGCGACCUCCAAACUCGUUUUUGGUCGGCAGCAGUGGAAAUGCUGCAGUGCUGUCCGCCAGUGUACAGGCUGCUCAAGGACCCAAGAGGAAUUUCUCACCAAUACGUAAACAUGCACCACAGCUAGACUGCGGUUCCCUGACUUUGGGAUUUCAGAGACAGGCGAACUGAAGAAGAAAUUCUGGGGCUGACAAACAGCAACCAACAUUUUGUUUUGCAACCAAGAGCAUUUCAAAAAGCAAAAAUAUUGCCCUCUACUUUUACCUUCAUUACAUAAAAGGACAUUUUAUCAUCCAAAUAAGGAAGAAAAUAACCUCAAAACAAAAAACAAUCCUUUAAGUUGAACAAAUGUGACUUCAUCAAUUAUUUACCAUGUUGUUCUUAUACACCUUACCUGCACAGAGCGCUCUGUCCCCUGUGCUAUGCUAUGGGCCACAAGGACUCUGGCCCAUUGGGGCCCACAGUCCAGCCUGGAUCUCCCAGGUCACAGGCUCAUCCAGCCCUGUCAUCACCUCAAAUGUGUUUCCACUAAGAAGAGGGACAAGUCACCAGGACAGCAGUUUACACGCACAUGGGGACUGCUUGCAUCACACACUGCUUCCCAUGUGACCCCAUAAAACCCUGCCGGAAAGGCACAGCAGGAAGCCUUGUCCCUGUCUAAAGCGGAGCCGCCUCUGUUAACAGGGACUUGGCCAAGGCCACAUGGAUGGCAGCGAAGCACAGGCCACACAUCUCUCAGACAGACUCUCCCUCAGUUCAGUUCUAUGUCUGCUGUAUCUUCCUCUCUUUCUCUCAAGAGCUUUUCAUUUGAAAAAUCAAUUCAUGGAAAAAGGAAAAAGAAAACUUACUUAAAACAAUUGUUCCUUCUCUUUAAAAUUACCUGUUUAACAAGUACAUUUUAACUAAGUUUUCAAAUGCCAAAAGAAAACACAAAAAAACAAGCAUUGUUGCCUUAAACACUUUUCUGGAACAAGGCAGAAUACAAAUAAAUAAAUAAAUAUAUAUAUAAAUAACGUGGGUGAUACAAAGAGUCACAGAAUGUGGGUGAUAUUGAUGGGUUUCUCUAAAACCCCUCACCCGGGACUCCAAAGCUGAAUCCUCAGAGGUGUCAGCGCUGUCCCCACUCCACCAUGGCCCAGCCCAGCCCAUCUGUUGACAGCAGCCAAGGCCCAGGGCCCAGGACUCUGUUCCACGGCCAGCAGCUGCCCUGGCAGUGGUGACAGUCAGAUGCUCCUGGGAUGCAACCAGAGGCAACCUUCAGGCUCCUUUCCCCUGGCCACCGAGCCCCUCUCCUGGGGAGCACUCCGGGCCAGCCAGGCAGCAGCCUCACUGAGACGGGACUUGGGUGCCCCAGGGCCUAGGAAGGUGAUUUCCUAACGUGCUGAGGUGGAAAGUGCUACUCUUUCCUAUUCUGUAUUCUGUCCUUGCCAACAGAAGAAAAAGGGAGCUUUAGUGAAGGGAGUGUCACUAAAACCAGGAGGAAUGACCUUAGCUACCCACCCUGUUUUCAGAUUCAUAUUUGGCAGCUUUGAAACAAGACACUGAACCUCCAAAUUGUUUAGAUUCUGAAAAACUUGGCAAAGGCCGGCUUGAACAAAGAGGAAGUUGAACAUGUCCUCUGCAAAUGAAAAGCUGAGACCCUAGACACCUGCAGGACAGCCAGGCCAGGCCACAGGCCAGGGAAGGGCUGCAAGAGGCCCCCUCCUCCAGCUCAUUCUCUCCCCAGACACAUCAUUCCCUGGCCGGGUCUGAGUGAGGUUCCUCUGCAAGGAUUCAGUCCAUUCCUCCUAGAGAGACCAGGGGCAGUGACCUCGUCCCUCCAAAACAGACACUGGCUGUGCAAAGGAGCGUGACGCCCACGCUACCACACCUGGGUCCUUGCCUCUGUGCAGCCUGAAGGUCACACCAGCGCACUCAUGCAUGGGACUCCCACAAGGCAGCAUUCCCAGGUGCCACUUCCCAAAAGUUCCAAGAACUGAGCCACCUCCUGCACCAGGCAGGGCUGGGGAGGCCUCAUCCUUAACAGGCCCCUGCAGGAAGCACUCAGUAGAGCAGACAGAGCAUGUCAUGUGUCUACAACACGGCUCACCUCGAGAAAAGUCACCCUCCUCUCCUACACUGAGCCCAAAGGGUGGCAGGAAGAAGAGACUCGAGGUGGGAGGAGCUAAAUACUAAGCCAGUGAAGAGCCAGAGUGCAGGGAGCUAACAAGCCUCCCUGAAAGCCCCUAUCAGCCUACCAGGGUGAUGAGCCACUGCCUACGCCCUCCAGUGACAAGGCCCAGCCCACUGUGGUGGCUCCAACUUCCAUAUCAUCAUCCUUAACUCCCUAUAGCGCCUGCCCCAGCCACAGCCCAAUUUCUGUCCCAGUCCCGCUUUGGGUGCCACAGAGAACAUGCCCACUCCCUCCCCCAGGCUGAAGCCCCCACAGCACCUGGCCGCGGCUGUCCUGGCCCUCCCCCGCCACUCACCUGCGGAUCCUCUCCUAUCUGGGGAAGACCCUCCUGGCUUCAGCAGUACCCAAUCCCAAGCUCCCCUCGGGAACAGCACACAGCCCACAUUUACACAACCAUCGCAGCUUCUAACAGUGUCACCUCAGCUGAGGAAACACCUCCAUUUACCCCUCUGAAUCCCCUGAGGACUGUUCUUCCCUUCGGAACUGCAUCUGCACACGCACAGGUCAGCGGGGGCGACCCGCAGAGCCCAUUUGUGACACAGGGGGCUGGGGUCUAGAAUUCUAUCCUCAGGCUGUAGAACGCAGUAAUGGCCAGACACUGCCUGCCGGCGAAGAGACGCAGCGGUGCUACUAAGUAAAUAAAAUGAUACCGUUGUUCAAUUUUUACAAAUUGGAAUUCUCUUAUUACAGAAAAUCUAAACACAGAUUUGAAAUCUGCUCCUUCCUAAAUCUAUCUGAAGUCUAGAAUCACCAUGGAUCCACACAAUGGUCCUCAUGGGCUUCAAAUGAUGACAUGUGAUUCACUGGAAACAGCAGCAACCUGGGAGGGCUCUGAGGCUGCAGCCACCAGCCCACCUGCCAGUGACCCUCAAGCUGGCUGUGCAGCCUUGGGUGAGGGGAAGCCCCACCCACGCAGCCAAAGGUAUCAGCAGUGAUCACCCAGGCCAUGUCUCUCCGGGGAAAGACUUCUGGCCUCACUGCCAUCCCCUUGCAGAGAUUCUAGAAGCAGCUACCAAGACAAAAGAGCAAUCAACCAACCGCCAGAUGUUUUGUCCACUGGACAGCAUGCACCUGGAGGCUCAGAACCACCCAGAGGACUUGCUGCAUUUUUCACUUUCUGGUAUGUGUGGGGGAUAGAAGACAGCGCCUCGGGCAUUUCCUGGCCUGUUAGAACUGGCAGUGAAUGCUGUUGGAACGGUCCUUGGUCCCAAGGAACGCAGUCAUUUCCUGGGGAGUUUGGUGUGGGCCUCCUAAAAUCAAUCACUGGACGCUCCCUAAGGUGAAGUGGCAGAAAAAUCAUGACACCUGAUGAGAGGCACAGAAGGUAUUGGAACAGGUGCUGUGCAGCCAGGAAACCACCCUUGAAUGAAGACAAUCGCUAGGAGACCUCCACCACAAAGACAGAAUACUGAAGUGGCAAGGAAGGGGCAUGUAUGACAAGCAUGUGUUACCCCAGGAGCGGGGAAAAACCCGCAAGCUCAUGUCUGCAUUUCUGUCCUCUACUUUGCUUACAAAACUCCCUUUUCAUUGAGAUACUAGAAGGCUUUAAUCGAACAAUCAAAUUGAGAAGUAGAAAAAUAAAGAGAAGCACAGUUCCAGAAGUGCUAGGAGUCCUCCCUACAGGGAAAUUCGUAGGCCUCCAACCUCAGUCCCUACAUGUACACAUUCCAUGGCCCGUUACAUUAAUAUGCAACUGAAAAUCCAGAAAAGAGAAUUUGGGAAAAACAAUAAUAACUUUUGUAUGAGCCUCUCAGCUGACAAUGACCCAAGGACUGUUCGGCGGCCCAGGCACCUGAGGAGCAAUGACAGUCCACGACGACACCUUCAGUAGCAACAGCCAUCAGGAUACCACCAGCAGCACAGCACUCAGGGUUUGGUGUCCACCUUCUCUGCAGAUCACCUUCUCCCUUGCUGGAAUCAACUGCAGCACUUGAAGUCUACUCAUGAAGUAGA